ACGUAGGGGGCAAGCGUUGUCCGGAAUUAUUGGGCGUAAAGGGCGCGCAGGCGGUCUUUUAAGUCUGAUGUGAAAUCUCGCAGCUUAACUGCGAGCGGUCAUUGGAAACUGGAUGGCUUGAGGACAGAAGAGGAGAGUGGAAUUCCACGUGUAGCGGUGAAAUGCGUAGAGAUGUGGAGGAAGACCGGUGGCGAAGGCGGCCUGCUGGGCAGAUACUGACACUGAGGCGCGACAGCGUGGGGAGCAAACAGGA
rnacentral:rRNA from 1 species